AGAGUUUGAUCCUGGCUCAGGACGAACGCUGGCGGCGUGCUUAACACAUGCAAGUGGUGCGACGAACCAGGCUUCGGCCUGGGGCAAAGCCGCGAACGGGUGAGUAACACGUGAGUAAUCUGCCCCGAUGACCGGGACAACCCGAGGAAACUCGGGCUAAUACCGGAUGAUGAGCCUUGGCCUAAGCCUUGUCUCUAAAG
rnacentral:rRNA from 1 species